GCUAGCGUAGCUUAAAUCUAAAGCAUAGCACUGAAGAUGCUAAGAUGGACCCUAAAAAGUCCCGCAUGCA
rnacentral:tRNA from 1 species